AGGAAAUCCUGCAUUUAAAUAGUUCAAGAAGUCCAUUACAAGAUCUCUGCUCUUUCGGGAAUGUAUUUUGUUAGUCCAUGCUUCUGACGAAACUCAGGCACAAAAGACAGGCGUCCAUAUGCACAGGAAUAAUUUGCUAUAGCUUUUUAGUUCAGAAACCACGCAUGCUGAUAGCUCAUUGCUAACUGUGUAUUGUUAGGCUUCGGAGGCAUGAGGAUCAUGCAGCGCUGCUUGAGUUGCAGGCUAAGUUCCUUUUUCGUCUUUACGUCUUAUGGCCAGAAGGAAGAUGGUAUGAUAUUGGCAGUGCUUGAUUGAAGGGGGUGAUCAUCAACUUAUCGUACAAUGUGUCACUAGAUGGAAAGGUUUCCAAAAGAGUUUAAAUAGAUAGCCAGCAUGACUAGCAUAUUCAAGGUCAUGUUUGGUUCUCUUGUUGCUUACUGAGCAAACCUUAGGGAGAAAUGCAGAUUUGGAUCGUCAUGUCUGUAUCACUUGCUAUGGGAAAGCAGAACAAAUUUGUUGU
rnacentral:lncRNA from 1 species